rnacentral:rRNA from 1 species
GAUGAACGCUGGCGGCGUGCCUAGUACAUGCAAGUCGAGCGAACAGACGAGGAGCUUGCUCCUCUGACGUUAGCGGCGGACGGGUGAGUAACACGUGGAUAACCUACCUAUAAGACUGGGAUAACUUCGGGAAACCGGAGCUAAUACCGGAUAAUAUAUUGAACCGCAUGGUUCAAUAGUGAAAGACGGUUUUGCUGUCACUUAUAGAUGGAUCCGCGCCGCAUUAGCUAGUUAGUAAGGUAACGGCUUACCAAGGCAACGAUGCGUAGCCGACCUGAGAGGGUGAUCGGCCACACUGGAACUGAGACACGGUCCAGACUCCUACGGGAGGCAGCAGUAGGGAAUCUUCCGCAAUGGGCGAAAGCUUGACGGAGCAACGCCGCGUGAGUGAUGAAGGUCUUCGGAUCGUAAAACUCUGUUAUUAGGGAAGAACAAAUGUGUAAGUAACUAUGCACGUCUUGACGGUACCUAAUCAGAAAGCCACGGCUAACUACGUG